GUGGGGAAUAUUGGACAAUGGGGGGAACCCUGAUCCAGCCAUGCCGCGUGUGUGAAGAAGGCCUUUUGGUUGUAAAGCACUUUAAGCGAGGAGGAGGCUACCGAGAUUAAUACUCUUGGAUAGUGGACGUUACUCGCAGAAUAAGCACCGGCUAACUCUGUGCCAGCAGCCGCGGUAAUACAGAGGGUGCAAGCGUUAAUCGGAUUUACUGGGCGUAAAGCGCGCGUAGGUGGCCAAUUAAGUCAAAUGUGAAAUCCCCGAGCUUAACUUGGGAAUUGCAUUCGAUAGUGGUUGGCUAGAGUAUGGGAGAGGAUGGUAGAAUUCCAGGUGUAGCGGUGAAAUGCGUAGAGAUCUGGAGGAAUACCGAUGGCGAAGGCAGCCAUCUGGCCUAAUACUGACACUGAGGUGCGAAAGCAUGGGGAGCAAACAGGAUUAGAAACCCGAGUAGUCC
rnacentral:rRNA from 1 species